UUAUAUGGUCAAGCGACUAAGCGCAUACGGUGAAUGCCUUGGCAAUUGGAGGCGAUGAAGGACGUUGGAGCCUGCGAAAAGCGUUGGGGAGUCGGCAACCAGACUUUGAUCCAGCGAUGUCCGAAUGGGGAAACCCACCUGGUAUAAGCCAGGUAUCCUUUGACUGAAUACAUAGGUCUUAGGAGGCGAACUCGGGGAACUGAAACA
rnacentral:rRNA from 1 species